CUCCUCUCUUCCUACCGUUCUUCAGCUCUGUCUCUGUUUACCAUGUUUCAAAAGGUAGACAUUUCUACUAGCAGCGGCCGGAGGUUGACGGCACGCUGAAACAAACCGGCCAGUGGGGGGACAGGAGUGACAGUCAUUUACAUUGGCAGCACGCGGUUGCCCCUCACGCUGUGUCUCCAUAUACCGCUAUCUCCCCCGCUCUCUUCACCUCCCACUCUCUCUCUGUAGCUCAUUGUUUCUACUUGUCUCUCUCUCUUAUUCCCUCUCUCUUCACCUCCCUCUCUCUUCACCUCCCUCUCUCUCUCUCUGUACCUCAUUCAUUCUACCUGUCCCUCUCCCUCACUCUAUCUACCUCUCUUUUUCUACCUCUGCCUCUCAAUUCCUCCCUUCCUUGCUCUCGCUCACUCUCUACCUUUAUCUGUCUCUCCUUCACACUCUUUUUCUCACUCACGCUUUCUAAAUCUAUACUCUUUCUUCUCCACCUCUCUUUUUUUUCUCUAGGUCCAUCUCUCUCUCACUGCUAUCUUAUUCCCGGUGCAAUCCGCCGAGAAAGAAAGGCUAAGAGAAAAGCAAGCAGGAGGCACUUUUUACAGAAUAUUCGUGUCUCAGCCCUGACCACAAUGAAACCCUGGCAGCUCGCUGGAUUGGUGGGAAAUGUCCUUCAGGUUUCCAGUAGUGACAGUAGUAGCUUUGUAAAUAAGGACGUCAUCUCGCUCUACGUCUACAUUGGUCUAUAUAAAGCUCCACGUCUACACUGGUCUACAUAAAGCUCCACGUCUACACUGGUCUACAUAAAGCUCUACGUCUACACUGGUCUACUUAAAGCUCUACGUCUACACUGGUCUACAUAAAACUCCACGUCUACACUGGUCUACUUAAAGCUCUACGUCUACACUGGUCUACAUAAAGCUCCACAUCUACAAUGGUCUACUUAAAGCUCCAUGUCUACAUUGGUCUACUUAAAGCUCCACGUCUACACUGGUCUACUUAAAGCUCCAUGUCUACACUGGUCUAAAAGAAGCUCCAC
ensembl:lncRNA